rnacentral:rRNA from 1 species
AUGAAUCUCCUUUUGAGCAGGAAGGGGAAAAAGUCCGUGGAGGGGAACCCCCAUAGACACGGGCGCUUGAGGGGAAUAAGUGUGUCCGGUCAACUACGCUCCCAAACCUAUAAGGAGAUCACCCACGAGUUCCUUUCCACCUUUGAGGAUAAACUAGAUAUCAGGCAGUGGUGGAAUGUGGGUCAACAGCAGCUGGGUGGCAUCGACGAUGCUGAUUCACAUGGACAGAACCAUCAGCCUCUGCCUAAUGAGUGCAUGUUGUGUUAUUUAUUUUUAUUUCAUUUUCUUAUCAUCUUGUGGGAGUUCGAACAUCAAUUUAUUUGUUUUUCACUAUCGGAGAUGAAACUGAUCCUCAAUUGA